AUUACGAGACGGCAAAAAAUACAAAAAAAA
rnacentral:sRNA from 1 species